rnacentral:rRNA from 1 species
UACGGAGGGGGCUAGCGUUGUUCGGAAUUACUGGGCGUAAAGCGCACGUAGGCGGCUUUGUAAGUUAGAGGUGAAAGCCCGGGGCUCAACUCCGGAAUUGCCUUUAAGACUGCAUCGCUAGAAUUGUGGAGAGGUAAGUGGAAUUCCGAGUGUAGAGGUGAAAUUCGUAGAUAUUCGGAAGAACACCAGUGGCGAAGGCGGCUCACUGGAUUGGUAUUGACGCUGAGGUGCGAAAGCGUGGGGAGCAAACAGG